UUAAGCGACUAAGCGUACACGGUGGAUGCCCUGGCAGUCAGAGGCGAUGAAGGACGUGCUAAUCUGCGAAAAGCGUCGGUAAGGUGAUAUGAACCGUUACAGCCGGCGAUGUCCGAAUGGGGAAACCCAGUGCAAUUCGUUGCACUAUCGUUAACUGAAUACAUAGGUUAACGAGGCGAACCGGGGGAACUGAAACAUCUAAGUACCCCGAGGAAAAGAAAUCAACCGAGAUUCCCCCAGUAGCGGCGAGCGAACGGGGAGCAGCCCAGAGUCUGAAUCAGCUUGUGUGUUAGUGGAACGGUCUGGAAAGUCCGACGGUACAGGGUGAUAGUCCCGUACACCAAAAUGCACAGGCUGUGAACUCGAAGAGUAGGGCGGGACACGUGGUAUCCUGUCUGAAUAUGGGGGGACCAUCCUCCAAGGCUAAAUACUCCUGACUGACCGAUAGUGAACCAGUACCGUGAGGGAAAGGCGAAAAGAACCCCGGCGAGGGGAGUGAAAAAGAACCUGAAACCGUGUACGUACAAGCAGUGGGAGCACCUUCGGGUGUGACUGCGUACCUUUUGUAUAAUGGGUCAGCGACUUAUAUUCUGUAGCAAGGUUAACCGUAUAGGGGAGCCGCAGGGAAACCGAGUCUUAACUGGGCGUUAAGUUGCAGGGUAUAGACCCGAAACCCGGUGAUCUAGCCAUGGGCAGGUUGAAGGUUGGGUAACACUAACUGGAGGACCGAACCGACUAAUGUUGAAAAAUUAGCGGAUGACUUGUGGCUGGGGGUGAAAGGCCAAUCAAACCGGGAGAUAGCUGGUUCUCCCCGAAAGCUAUUUAGGUAGCGCCUCGUGAAUUCAUCUUCGGGGGUAGAGCACUGUUUCGGCUAGGGGGUCAUCCCGACUUACCAACCCGAUGCAAACUACGAAUACCGAAGAAUGUUAUCACGGGAGACACACGGCGGGUGCUAACGUCCGUCGUGAAGAGGGAAACAACCCAGACCGCCAGCUAAGGUCCCAAAGUCAUGGUUAAGUGGGAAACGAUGUGGGAAGGCACAGACAGCCAGGAUGUUGGCUUAGAAGCAGCCAUCAUUUAAAGAAAGCGUAAUAGCUCACUGGUCGAGUCGGCCUGCGCGGAAGAUGUAACGGGGCUAAACCAUGCACCGAAGCUGCGGCAGCGACACUAUGUGUUGUUGGGUAGGGGAGCGUUCUGUAAGCCUGCGAAGGUGACCUGUGAGGGUUGCUGGAGGUAUCAGAAGUGCGAAUGCUGACAUAAGUAACGAUAAAGCGGGUGAAAAGCCCGCUCGCCGGAAGACCAAGGGUUCCUGUCCAACGUUAAUCGGGGCAGGGUGAGUCGACCCCUAAGGCGAGGCCGAAAGGCGUAGUCGAUGGGAAACAGGUUAAUAUUCCUGUACUUGGUGUUACUGCGAAGGGGGGACGGAGAAGGCUAUGUUAGCCGGGCGACGGUUGUCCCGGUUUAAGCAUGUAGGCUGGUUAUCCAGGCAAAUCCGGAUAAUCAAGGCUGAGGUGUGAUGACGAGGCACUACGGUGCUGAAGUAACAAAUGCCCUGCUUCCAGGAAAAGCCUCUAAGCAUCAGGUAACAUCAAAUCGUACCCCAAACCGACACAGGUGGUCAGGUAGAGAAUACCAAGGCGCUUGAGAGAACUCGGGUGAAGGAACUAGGCAAAAUGGUGCCGUAACUUCGGGAGAAGGCACGCUGGUGUGUAGGUGAAGUCCCUGCGGAUGGAGCUGAGACCAGUCGAAGAUACCAGCUGGCUGCAACUGUUUAUUAAAAACACAGCACUGUGCAAACACGAAAGUGGACGUAUACGGUGUGACGCCUGCCCGGUGCCGGAAGGUUAAUUGAUGGGGUUAUCCGUAAGGAGAAGCUCUUGAUCGAAGCCCCGGUAAACGGCGGCCGUAACUAUAACGGUCCUAAGGUAGCGAAAUUCCUUGUCGGGUAAGUUCCGACCUGCACGAAUGGCGUAAUGAUGGCCAGGCUGUCUCCACCCGAGACUCAGUGAAAUUGAACUCGCUGUGAAGAUGCAGUGUACCCGCGGCAAGACGGAAAGACCCCGUGAACCUUUACUAUAGCUUGACACUGAACAUUGAGCCUUGAUGUGUAGGAUAGGUGGGAGGCUUUGAAGCGUGGACGCCAGUCUGCGUGGAGCCAACCUUGAAAUACCACCCUUUAAUGUUUGAUGUUCUAACGUUGGCCC
rnacentral:rRNA from 1 species